rfam:Streptococcus pneumoniae BS397 ctg70, whole genome shotgun sequence.
GUUACCGAUUACGUUCCUUACGGUUCGUGAAAGGAGGUGAAACUAAUGAGCCUUAUCCCAGAGCUCGCUCUUACUAUUAUAGCAGAUGUUAUAGCUGGAAUUAUCCUAUAUUUUGUUUGCAAAUGGCUAGAUGGUAAGAAGUAGACCGACUGACUAGCCUGUAAACACCCGUUAAAUCGCUAAGAUACGUCAAAAAAUCCCUUAACUACGGCCAUAGUUAAGGGAUUUGGUGUUCUAAU